AUUGAACGCUGGCGGCAGGCCUAACACAUGCAAGUUGAGCGGAUGAAGGGAGCUUGCUCCUGGAUUCAGCGGCGGACGGGUGAGUAAUGCCUAGGAAUCUGCCUGGUAGUGGGGGAUAACGUCCGGAAACGGGCGCUAAUACCGCAUACGUCCUGAGGGAGAAAGUGGGGGAUCUUCGGACCUCACGCUAUCAGAUGAGCCUAGGUCGGAUUAGCUAGUUGGUGGGGUAAAGGCCUACCAAGGCGACGAUCCGUAACUGGUCUGAGAGGAUGAUCAGUCACACGGGAACGGAGGAACGGUCCAAGCCCCUAGGGGGGGCAGGAGUGGGAAAUAUUGGAAAAAGGGGGAAACCCUGACCCAGACCAGCCGCGGGGGUGAAGAAGUAUUUCGGGUUGGAAAGCCUUUUAAGUUGGGGGGAAGGGAAGUAAGUUAAAACCUUCCUUUUUUGGCGUUACCAAAAAAAAAAGCACCGGCAAACUUCUG
rnacentral:rRNA from 1 species